rnacentral:rRNA from 1 species
GACGAACGCUGGCGGCGUGCCUAAUACAUGCAAGUCGAACGCAGUGGGGACGGGUGAGUAACACGUGGGUAACCUCCCAUCAGAGGGGAUAACCCUUGGAAACCGGUGCUAAACCGAUACUGAUGGAUGGACCCGCGGUGCCUUAGCUAGUUGGUGAGGUAACGGCUCACCAAGGCCACGAUGCAUAGCCAACCUGGGAGGGUGAUCGUCCAAACUGGGACGGAGACACGGUCCAGACUCCUUCGAGAGGAAGCAGUAGGGAAUCUUCGGCAAUGGAAGAAAGUCUGACCGAGAAAAGCCGAGUGAGUGAAGAAGGUUUUCGGAUAGUAAAACUCUGUUGUUAGGGAAGCGGUAUCUAACCAGAAAGCCACGGCUAACUACGUGCCAGCAGCCGCGGUAAUAC